CCUACGGGGGGCUGCAGUAAGGAAUAUUGGUCAAUGGACGAAAGUCUGAACCAGCCAUCCCGCGUGCAGGAUGACUGCCCUAUGGGUUGUAAACUGCUUUUAGCAGAGACGAAACGCCUUCAUUUAUGAGGGUCUGACGGUAUCUGCAGAAUAAGCACCGGCUAACUCCGUGCCAGCAGCCGCGGUAAUACGGAGGGUGCAAGCGUUAUCCGGAAUCACUGGGUUUAAAGGGUGCGUAGGCGGAUAUUUAAGUCAGUGGUGAAAUCUUGUCGCUUAACGAUAAAAUUGCCAUUGAUACUGAAUGUCUUGAAUUGGGUUGAGGUUAGCGGAAUGUGACAUGUAGCGGUGAAAUGCAUAGAUAUGUCAUGGAACACCAAUUGCGAAGGCAGCUAGCUGGGCCUUGAUUGACGCUGAGGCACGAAAGCGUGGGUAGCGAACAGGCUUAGAUACCCCAGUAGUC
rnacentral:rRNA from 1 species